UUGAACCACAAUGCUUUAGGCAAAUACCAAUUUCAUUGAAUGCCUUGGAAGCUAAGCUGGAUCAGCCUUGGUUGGUACUUGGUUGGGAGAUCUCCAUUGAAUAUCAGAUGUUGUUAGGU
rnacentral:rRNA from 11 species